GACGAACGCUGGCGGCGUGCUUAACACAUGCAAGUCGAACGGUGAAGCGCCUUCCUUUUUGGUGGGUGUGGAUGAGUGGCGAACGGGUGAGUAACACGUGAGUAACCUGCCCCCUUCUUCUGGAUAACCGCAUGAAAGUGUGGCUAAUACGGGAUAUUCUGGGUCUGUCGCAUGAUGGGUCUGGGAAAGAUAUUGUUUCGGUGGGGGAUGGGCUCGCGGCCUAUCAGCUUGUUGGUGGGGUGAUGGCCUACCAAGGCGGUGACGGGUAGCCGGCCUGAGAGGGUGGACGGUCACACUGGGACUGAGACACGGCCCAGACUCCUACGGGAGGCAACAGUGGGGAAUAUUGCACAAUGGGCGCAAGCCUGAUGCAGCAACGCCGCGUGAGGGAUGGAGGCCUUCGGGUUGUGAACCUCUUUCGCCAGUGAAGCAGGCCUGCCUCGUUUGUGGGUGGGUUGACGGUAGCUGGAUAAGAAGCGCCGGCUAACUACGUG
rnacentral:rRNA from 1 species